rnacentral:rRNA from 1 species
UACGGAGGGUGCAAGCGUUAUCCGGAUUCACUGGGUUUAAAGGGUGCGUAGGAGGGCAGGUAAGUCAGUGGUGAAAUCUUCGAGCUUAACUCGGAAACUGCCGUUGAUACUAUCUGUCUUGAAUACCGUGGAGAUGAGCGGAAUAUGUCAUGUAGCGGUGAAAUGCUUAGAUAUGACAUAGAACACCGAUUGCGAAGGCAGCUCGUUACACGAAUAUUGACUCUGAGGCUCGAAAGCGUGGGGAUCAAACAGG